rfam:Xenopus tropicalis strain Nigerian Chr08_contig_585, whole genome shotgun sequence.
GUGGGUGCUUGUCAGGAAUUCCGCUAGUUCUGAACUAUUCCAUGUUAGUAAGUAAAAGUUCACUACUAGCAGAACUCGGCCACGUACCACA